UACGUAGGGUGCGAGCGUUAAUCGGAAUUACUGGGCGUAGAGCGUGCGCAGGCGGUUUUGUAAGCCAGAUGUGAAAUCCCCGGGCUCAACCUGGGAAUGGCAUUUGGGACUGCAAGGCUGGAGUGCGGCAGAGGAGACUGGAAUUCCUGGUGUAGCAGUGAAAUGCGUAGAUAUCAGGAGGAAUACCGAUGGCGAAGGCAGGUCUCUGGGCUGACACUGACGCUCAUGCACGAAAGCGUGGGGAGCAAACAGG
rnacentral:rRNA from 1 species